AGGGGGAUAACAGUUAGAAAUGACUGCUAAUACCGCAUAAGCGCACAGUACCGCAUGGUAGUGUGUGAAAAACUCCGGUGGUAUAAGAUGGACCCGCGUCUGAUUAGCCAGUUGGCGGGGUAACGGCCCACCAAAGCGACGAUCAGUAGCCGACCUGAGAGGGUGACCGGCCACAUUGGGACUGAGACACGGCCCAAACUCCUACGGGAGGCAGCAGUGGGGAAUAUUGCACAAUGGGGGAAACCCUGAUGCAGCAACGCCGCGUGAGUGAAGAAGUAUUUCGGUAUGUAAAGCUCUAUCAGCAGGGAAGAAGAUGACGGUACCUGACCAAGAAGCCCCGGCUAACUACGUGCCAGCAGCCGCGGUAAUACGUAGGGGGCAAGCGUUAUCCGGAUUUACUGGGUGUAAAGGGAGCGCAGACGGCAGUGCAAGUCUGGAGUGAAAGCCCGGGGCCCAACCCCGGAACUGCUCUGGAAACUGUGCGGCUAGAGUACUGGAGGGGCAGGCGGAAUUCCUAGUGUAGCGGUGAAAUGCGUAGAUAUUAGGAGGAACACCAGUGGCGAAGGCGGCCUGCUGGACAGUAACUGACGUUGAGGCUCGAAAGCGUGGGGGAGCAAACAGGGAUUAGAUACCCUUGGUAGUCCACGCCGAAAACGAUGAAUGCUAGGUGU
rnacentral:rRNA from 1 species